rnacentral:rRNA from 1 species
AUUGAACGCUGGCGGCAGGCCUAACACAUGCAAGUCGAACGAGUGGCGGACGGGUGAGUAAUGUCUGGGAAACUGCCUGAUGGAGGGGGAUAACUACUGGAAACGGUAGCUAAUACCGCAUACCAUCGGAUGUGCCCAGAUGGGAUUAGCUAGUAGGUGGGGUAAAGGCUAACCUAGGCGACGAUCCCUAGCUGGUCUGAGAGGAUGACAAGCCACACUGGAACUGAGACACGGUCCAGACGCCUACGGUAGGUAGCAGUGGGGAAUAUUGCACAAUGGGGGCAAGCCUGAUGCAGCCAGGGCGCGUGUAUGAAGAAGGCCUUCGGGGUGUAAAGUACUUUCAGUGGGGAGGCGUUACCCGCAGAAGAAGCACCGGCUAACUCCGUGCCAGCAGCCGCGGUAAUAC